rnacentral:rRNA from 1 species
AAAUUGAAGAGUUUGAUCAUGGCUCAGAUUGAACGCUGGCGGCAGGCCUAACACAUGCAAGUCGAACGGUAACAGGAAACAGCUUGCUGUUUCGCUGACGAGUGGCGGACGGGUGAGUAAUGUCUGGGAAACUGCCCGAUGGAGGGGGAUAACUACUGGAAACGGUAGCUAAUACCGCAUAACGUCGCAAGACCAAAGAGGGGGACCUUCGGGCCUCUUGCUAUCGGAUGUGCCCAGAUGGGAUUAGCUAGUAGGUGGGGUAACGGCUCACCUAGGCGACGAUCCCUAGCUGGUCUGAGAGGAUGACCAGCCACACUGGAACUGAGACACGGUCCAGACUCCUACGGGAGGCAGCAGUGGGGAAUAUUGCACAAUGGGCGCAAGCCUGAUGCAGCCAUGCCGCGUGUAUGAAGAAGGCCUUCGGGUUGUAAAGUACUUUCAGCGGGGAGGAAGGGAGUAAAGUUAAUACCUUUACUCAUUGACGUUACCCGCAGAAGAAGCACCGGCUAACUCCGUGCCAGCAGCCGCGGUAAUACGGAGGGUGCAAGCGUUAAUCGGAAUUACUGGGCGUAAAGCGCACGCAGGCGGUUUGUUAAGUCAGAUGUGAAAUCCCCGGGCUCAACCUGGGAACUGCAUCUGAUACUGGCAAGCUUGAGUCUCGUAGAGGGGGGUAGAAUUCCAGGUGUAGCGGUGAAAUGCGUAGAGAUCUGGAGGAAUA